rnacentral:lncRNA from 1 species
GGCUUACAUCCAAGCAACCCUACUUCAGUGACAAUGUCAGUGGCAUACUUGCGCUGACAUAAAUAAAACCCGGAUGGACUUCGAGCAACCUCUACACCCGCAAAUGUGGGAUAUACAUAUCCCUUAAUACCCCUCCUCGAGAUGAUGGCUCUUAUCGGCCAGAAAUCUCGGAACCUUUUUAAGACAGUUAUACUCGGUCGAGCGAGUCAAUUACGACCUAUAUACCCGGUCGGGUAGGGUUAAUAUUAAUUAAGGGUUUAACUUAUUAGGAUCUGGGCUCUGAUAUCAUGACAAGUUUAUGAAUGAAUGAAUAUUAACUUGUAUAUCUUAUGUAUUAACAUUGGCCUUAGCCGAGUAUUUAUACAAACCUCAUGAUCUCUCCUAAACCUAAUUGGAAUAAAUGGAAAGAACUAGAAUAGGAAAUAUAGAUAUACAAAUCUAUGUAAUCUCUACUAAUAAAAGGGAGCUUUUGAGGUUCCAUAUGGCGUCCACAUCAGCGAAAAAAAUUUCUCCUGAAAAAUGACACGUGGCAUAAAAUAUAGUUUUAUAUUUUAAUAUUAAUUAUUUUCGAAAAUUGUAAAAAAUAUGUAAACAUACAGCAUUAAAAAAUGGAAAAACUACAUUAAACAUAUGUAAGAUUACUAUUUUUCAUUUAAAAAAAAGACGGCUUAUCUCCAUAAUGUAACAUUACCGUUUUAUAAAAAAAAAACAAAAAACAUUAUAUAUAAUUUCGAAAAUAAUAAAUAUAUGUAAAACAUACAACAUAAAAAUGGAAAUACUACAUUAAACAUAAAUCUCUACUAAUAAAAGGGAGCUUUUGAGGCUCCAUAGGGCGUCCACAUCAGCGGAAAAAAUUUAUUCCGAAAGAUGACACGUGGCAUAAAAUAUAAUUUUACAUUUUAAUAUUAAUUAUUUUCGAAAAUUGUAAAAAAUAUGUAAACAUACAGCAUUAAAAAAUAGAAAAACUACAUUAAACAUAUGUAAGAUUACUAUUUUUCACUUAAAAAAAAGACGGCUUAUCUCCAUAAUGUAACAUUACCGUUUUAUAAAAAAAAAACAAAAAACAUUAUAUAUAAUUUCGAAAAUAAUAAAUAUAAGUAAAACAUACAACAUAAAAAUGGAAAUACUACAUUAAACAUAAAUAUGUUUGACUAUAAAAGGGAGCUUUUGAGGCUCCAUAGGGCGUCCACAUCAGCGGAAAAAAUUUAUUCCGAAAGAUGACACGUGGCAUAAAAUAUAGUUUUACAUUUUAAUAUUAAUUAUUUUCGAAAAUUGUAAAAAAUAUGUAAACAUACAGCAUUAAAAAAAUAGAAAAACUACAUUAAACAUAUGUAAGAUUACUAUUUUUCACUUAAAAAAAAGACGGCUUAUCUCCAUAAUGUAACAUUACCGUUUUAUAAAAAAAAAACAAAAAACAUUAUAUAUAAUUUCGAAAAUAAUAAAUAUAAGUAAAACAUACAACAUAAAAAUGGAAAUACUACAUUAAACAUAAAUAUGUUUGACUAUUUGUCCAAGUUCUUCUAUUAAACAUUGCCGUUUUACAUUAAAAAUAGAAAAAUACGUAAAGAUUUAAACAUCUAUCUUAAAAUAUAAAAUAUAAACAUUAACUAAAUAUAAAGUAUAAAAAAGAGAAAUACUCAAUAUAAAAAAAAUAAAUAAUAAGUAAAUAUUAUAAAUAUAUAAAUAUAUGAAUUAUAUAUACAAUAAUAAGUAAAUGCACAAUUUUUUAAAAAUGGAAAGAGUAUAUUAAAUAUUAAACAUCUAUCUUAAAAUGUAAAAUAUAGAUAUUAAGUAAAUAGAAAAUAUAAGAAAAAGAAAUACACAACUUAAAACAAUGGAAAAAGUAUAUUAAGAUUUAAACAUCUAUCUUAAAAUGUAAAAUAUAGAUAUUACGCAAAUAGAAAAGAAAAGGAAAUACACAAUUAAAAAAAAUAGAAAAAUUACAUUAGUAUUUAAACAUCUAUCUUAAAAUGUAAAUCAAUCUUAAAAUAUAAAAUUAUUAGUAAAUAGAAAGUAUAAGAAAUAGAAAUACACAAUAUAA